UACAAAAGAAUAGAGAUCUAUACGGGUGCCAAGUUCUGUGUUGAAAAUCUGAAAUCUUAAUUAAAUAUAUAUUUCCUAUUAAGCAUCAAACAUUGUGGUAGUAUCAAGAAACAAGAAAUUGUUAUAUAAAUUAAUUUUAGAAGGUUGCAUAUUCUUGUAACUAAGAUUUCAGAUUUUCAACACAGAACUUGGCACCCGUAUAGAUCUCUAUUCUUUUGUAGGCGAAGACAACAACGACGCAUUACCUUAAUUUAAUAUUGAACUUGGCUCUCAUUUUACAUUUAUGUUUUUGAUGGGAUAUCAUUACUUUUUGUACAGAAAUUAUGUUAGAAUAGUGUUAAACAUGAAUACAUGUUUUUAGUAAAAUUACUCUAUUUUCUACGUUUACGCUGUAUUGUUUUCUUUUUUGUGUUAUUUUCUAUAUUUUCUUGUACCUUCGAAAUAUUAGGAUGAAUUGCCCAUUCAUUAUCUACAAUUUUUCUUACGCGUUUUCUAUUUAUUUUUAAUUGGGCCAAGUCGGGGCGGUAUAAUGUGCGUAGGCGGUUGUAUUCGACUAUAGAGCUUUCUUGUGCCUUGAUUUGACUUGGAUCUAGAUUGAUAAGAUGUACUCCGUCUAAGGUUUUAACUCUAGAGAGAGCAACGUAAGCCUGCCCUUUACUAAAUAUUGAGGAGCCUAUAUCAAGAAGAGCGCUGUCAAGACUAAGUCCUUGUGAUUUGUGGAUAGUAAUAGCAUAUGCUAAGCAUAUAGGGAAUUGUUCCCGGUGUACAUAUGCAUUACUUAAUAUCUGAAACUUAGUCUUGACACGUUCAAGUUCGUAAAUUAAAUUAUGGUAAAAUUUGAUUAUAAUUUUA